GCAGAGGCAGCGUCAGCAGAGAGAAAUGCAGGAGAAGGCGAGGGGAAGGAGGAGAGGUGGGGCAGGUCACCCUCCCUGUUUGGUCAUCAUCUGCUUCCCCACUGGACUAAAAGCUGGGUUCUAGGCGAUUGGCUCUACCCGGUUCACCAGUUUCCUUGGCAUCUAGUACGAGGCCUGGCACACGCUGGGUCCCUAUGUGGAUGGAGUACACAGGGGGAUGGUUAGAGGAGGAAAAGAAGACCCUUCCAUCCAGCCUCUCCAAAUACCUGAUUGCCUCUGUACCAAGGGAAAUAGAUGCACCUUUGGGCCAAGCUGCCUGCCAGUAAAAAAAAAAUACUCUGUUUUUUUUUUUGCUCUCUGAUUCUGGGUGGGAUCCCUGGAGGGAAUCUCUGUGACAGCUGGUGCUGAUGCAUGCAGCCCUCACCCCCUCUCCAGACAAUUGCAUGGCUUCCUGACUAGUCUUACCAUGGAACCCCAACCACCACCUUCCCCAGCCUCCUGUGAAUAAAACGGCGAGUUAGCUCUCUGCCUGGGAACCACUUCAGGGGGCGGGAUCUGCCUCAGGGGCUCCACAGUCGGGUGCUUCCUCCUCAGCAGCCCAUCACACUGCUGUAAUUGCCUGUUUACUUGUCUGUCUUCCUCACUAGGCUGUGAACUGCAAAAGAGAAAGUACCCACCUGAUUUCUCUUUGUAUAUUUAACACUUGGAGGAGCAGAUGUUUGAAAAAUAACUGGAAGGAAGGAAUUGAUGUGCUCACAUGACUCAAGAAUACUUGCAGGGUGAAAGCUUUUUCCCAUUCAUUCUGGGACCCCAGAAACCAGUUCUUAGUGUGAAGUGGGAUUCAGUCGGAGGAUUGAUUCUGAGGCCAAACUGUCAAAUUAAAAUUCUGGCUCCACCAUGGAAUUGCUGGCUC